rnacentral:rRNA from 1 species
GGGAAUAUUGGACAAUGGGCGCAAGCCUGAUCCAGCAAUGCCGCGUGUGUGAAGAAGGUCUUCGGAUUGUAAAGCACUUUCGGCGGGGACGAUGAUGACGGUACCCGCAGAAGAAGCCCCGGCUAACUUCGUGCCAGCAGCCGCGGUAAUACGAAGGGGGCUAGCGUUGCUCGGAAUGACUGGGCGUAAAGGGCGCGUAGGCGGCGGCCAAAGUCAGGCGUGAAAUUCCUGGGCUCAACCUGGGGGCUGCGCUUGAUACUUGGUUGCUUGAGUGGGGAAGAGGGUCGUGGAAUUCCCAGUGUAGAGGUGAAAUUCGUAGAUAUUGGGAAGAACACCGGUGGCGAAGGCGGCGACCUGGUCCUUGACUGACGCUGAGGCGCGAAAGCGUGGGGAGCAAA